rnacentral:rRNA from 2 species
UCGGUCUAAGUUCCUUGGAACAGGACGUCACAGAGGGUGAGAAUCCCGUUUGUGGCCGGUACUUCCGCCAUGUGAAGCUCCUUCGACGAGUCGAGUUGUUUGGGAAUGCAGCUCUAAAUGGGAGGUAAAUUUCUUCUAAAGCUAAAUAUUGGCCAGAGACCGAUAGCGCACAAGUAGAGUGAUCGAAAGAUGAAAAGCACUUUGGAAAGAGAGUUAAAAAGUACGUGAAAUUGUUGAAAGGGAAGCGCUUGCGACCAGACUUGCCUUUAGUUGCUCCGCCGGUCCUUCGACCGGUGUAUUCUUCUAUUGUCA